UACGGAGGGUGCAAGCGUUAUCCGGAUUCACUGGGUUUAAAGGGUGCGUAGGUGGGUCUGUAAGUCCGUGGUGAAAUCUCCAAGCUUAACUUGGAAACUGCCAUGGAUACUAUGGGUCUUGAAUACCGUGGAGGUGAGCGGAAUAUGUCAUGUAGCGGUGAAAUGCUUAGAUAUGACAUAGAACACCAAUUGCGAAGGCAGCUCACUACACGAAUAUUGACACUGAGGCACGAAAGCGUGGGGAUCAAACAGG
rnacentral:rRNA from 1 species